rnacentral:rRNA from 1 species
AACGAACGCUGGCGGCGUGCUUAACACAUGCAAGUCGAACGAGAAUUACGUAGCAAUACGUAUAGUAAAGUGGCGCACGGGUCCGUAACACGUGGGUAAUCUGCCCUUGGGCGAGGAAUAACCUGUCGAAAGACGAGCUAAUACCUCAUAAGACCACGAAAUCUUAGGAUUUUGGGGUCAAAGGUGGCCUCUAUUUAUAAGCUAUCGCCUUUGGAUGAGCCCGCGGACCAUCAGCUUGNGGUAGGGUAACGGCCUACCAAGGCUAAGACGGUUAGCUGGUCUGAGAGGACGACCAGCGACACUGGAACUGAGACACGGUCCAGACUCCUACGGGAGGCAGCAGUGGGGAAUUUUGGACAAUGGGCGAAAGCCUGAUCCAGCAACGCCGCGUGAGUGAUGAAGGCCU